GGGAAUGUAGCUUAGUGGUAGAGUGUUUGCCUAGCAUGCAUGAAACCCUGAGUUCAAUUCUUUAUUACCA
rnacentral:tRNA from 1 species